UUUAAGAUUUCCACUGUUUAUAGACAUGCUCAACGUUGAAACUUCCUUUAACCUCUCUUCUCUGUUGUACAAUAGUUUCAAGUUUUAUCAGCAAUGCAUAUUCUCCUUUCUUCACCUUCUUUUUUCAGUGAUUUUAUGUUCACAAAAGGAUUAAUGUGCAAAAUGAAAAGAAAAUAUAGUUAGCUCGAUUUUGAAUCUCAUUCACCAUCAAUGCAUCUUUUGGAGGACAAGAAUAAAAUAAUUUUCUGUCGUGGAACAAAAUAUUUCUUGUCUCUUCCUCGAAUAGAUUCUUGUUUUUUGUGGUUUAUUAUUUUGGAAUUUCAAUGAAUUAAUUGCGGAUGGCUCAUAAGAUUUUAUAUUGCAUAUAACUUAUCAUUAAAGGUCAUCUCACCCUCAAUUUUCAUGGCCAAAUGAUGCUACACACUUUAUGCAAACAGGAUUUAACGAUAAUGCGUCUACAACUUAUUACAUCUUUUCCUUAAAGAAAUAACAGUAAUAUGAUUAGUGAUUAUUUCUUCUUCUGUUAUUCCUUUGACUUCGCUGCUUCUUUCUCCUUCCCAUCAUUAUUUUGUGCUCCAGCUCUACAAUGAUUCUUGCAAACCAUAUCGGUUUUCCAGUUGACAUCAUGAAAUAUACUAUGGAUAUUCCAAUACAUAGUCCACUUCCAUACCCCAUAAGAGCAGCUUUCCGAAAAUCACUCAGAAAUUCAGAAUUGCUUUCUUCAUCAUCUACGGCAUAAUUUUUCCCUGAUACAUGAUCAUUGCCACAACUUAUUGAAACUGGAAAACCACGUAAUCCAUCAUUGCCUUCAUAUGAAUUGUUCUCAAAGGUCUGAAAUUGAUUUCCAUGAGGAAUGCACCCUUCGAGAUGAUUGUAGGAAAGAUUUAAGACUGCAAGAGAAGUAAGAGAAGCAAAUUGUGCUGGUAUCUCUCCUACAAGAUGGUUACUUGAUAGGUCCAGUGAUUCAACCAAAGAUAAACUUCCAAGUGAUGACGGUAUAUGACCUUCCAAUCCAUUAUGAGAUAUAUUCAGCACACGGAGUGCAAUGAGAUCUCCCAUAAUAGUUGGAAUAUGUCCUUCAAAUUUGUUCUUUGAAAGAUCGAUAGUGGUGUACAAAAACAAGAUUCUCACAACUUCACGCUCAUAUCCCUUGGAUACGACAGCUAUCGAGUCUUGGUAAUAUCGAUCUGCACCAUAUCUUGAUGCUUCCAAUGAUAGAUCAAUUGUCCUCAUGGCUUUCAGAUGUUGAAACAAACUCGAAGGUAAGUUUCCUGAGAAGGCAUUGUAAGAGAGAUCUAUGAUUCGAAGCUCUGGAAACAUGUUCUCAAUCCUUGAUGUUCUGAUGGGACCAUGCAAUUUGUUGAAUCGCACGCUUAGAACUUUCAGCUUUGGUAGAGUCCCCAACCACACGGGGAAUGUGUCGUUGAGGUGAUUGUCUCCUAAAUCAAGAACUUCAAGUUGUUUGCAAUUGGUCAAGGAUUGUGGGAUUUUCCCCUCUAGUUUGUUGCCAUGCAAGUUGAGGCUGCUCAGUGAACUUCCAUUGCUGAAAGUUGUUGGAAUAUUCCCAGAAAGAUUGUUGUGGCGCAUAUCCAAAACCUGGAGGGCAGUAAUAUUACCCAAACAUUGCGGAAUUGCUCCCUUCAAAUUGUUUGUCGCCAAAUCAAGCAUUACCAGUGUUGUCAAAUUGCAAAUAGAUGAAGGAAUUUCUCCAGUGAGACUAUUAUUAGAUAUGAAGAAGAAUGUAGUGGAAUUUGAUGGAAUGGGUAGUGAUCCUUGAAGCAAAUUGGACCGCAAAUCAAUAGUAUCUGCAAACUGAAGAGGAAUUGAAUCCACACUCGUCAGCAUAUUGUGGGAUAUAUUAAGAUCUUGCAAUGAAACAUCCAGUUAGACCAUGCCCAAUCAGGAAUUCUUCCUUGAAUCUUAUAUUUGAAAGAUCCAACUGCCAAAGCUUCUUUGCGGAUCUUAGAAACUCCAACUCUUUCACUUCACAUGCGGCCAAUUCUAACGUAUCAAGAGAUUCGGGCAAAGUAACGUUGUUGUCAUUGGUCAAUGAGAUAUUAUUAUAUGAAAGACGAAGUUCCACAAGCUGUUUAAGGUUUGAAAAGAGGCUGACAUCCACGCGACCACUAAAAUUAUUGAAAGAAAGAUCCAAAUGCCGAAGAAGCUUUGCGGAUCUUAGAAACUCCAACUCUUUCACUUCACAUGCGGCCAAUUCUAACGUAUCAAGAGAUUCGGGCAAAGUAACGUUGUUGUCAUUGGUCAAUGAGAUAUUAUUAUAUGAAAGACUAAGAUACCGAAGCUGUUUAAGGUUUGAAAAGAAGCUGACAUCCACACGACCACUAAAAUUAUUGAAAGAAAGGAUAAGGCCUGUUAGGUUCACAAGGUUUUGAAUUGAGUGGGGAAGAUGACCCUGCAGCUGGUUGCCCUCUAAAUAUAUCGAGAUUAGUGAAUUGGACUUUAAAUCUUCAAGGGGACCAGAUAAGUGAUUAUUACUCAAGACUAUUGUAUUUAGUGAUGGAAGGGAUAACAUCCCUGAUGGUAUUGUUCCAUUCAGGGAGUUAUAUGAAAGGACCAAAUACUCAAUGCGGGUGAGAUUUGAAAGAGAUUCAGGAAUAGGCCCUCUAAGGUUGCAACUUACAAGAGACAAAUAACGCAGCGAAGUUAGAUGAUAGCCAAUAGACUCUGGAAAAUUAUCAGAAAAAUUCACCAUACUGAGAUGUAACUCUAUGAGAGAUGCACUGCUGUUCCAUUUGGCCUUUGGAAAAUAACCAUUGAGAUGAACAUUGUAACUUAAGUCAAGUAUUUCCAAGUUGGGCAGGUGAAAUAUACUCUCAGGUAUUAUCCCAUACAAUCCUGUUUCUGACAGCCUCAGAGUCGUGAAAUGAGAAGAAAAAUUCAGAGGAAUGGUGGAAGAGAUGUUUACUUGAGUAAGAUCAAGCUCUCUUAAUUGGGUCAAGUUCUGAAGAAGCGAUUUAAAAUCAUGGGAUGUGAGUCUUAGCUCCUUAGUGUAAAAGUUAAAAAAUGUGGAGAUACGAAGAGAGUGUAACUUGGAAAGNNNNNNNNNNNNNNNNNNNNNNNNNNNNNNNNNNNNNNNNNNNNNNNNNNNNNNNNNNNNNNNNNNNNNNNNNNNNNNNNNNNNNNNNNNNNNNNNNNNNAAUAAAAAUGUUGCAAUAUCAAUUAAAAUUGUUGCCAAAAUAUUCAAAAAAGUGUUGCCAUAAGAACAAUCUAUUGCAACAUACUCUAUUGCAAUGGUUCCUAACGGUUACCAUAUACCCUAAUGCAACAGUUGUAAACUGUUACAACAGUUGUAAUAUUAUAGUGCCUAUAGAUGGACAGAAAACCGUUGCAAUAGAAGUUCCUAUAGCAACACUUUCAAGAACCGUGACAUUAACUGUUAUAAUAGAGCUAUGGUAACGCGAGUAGAUGAGACGGUUGUAAAACCGUUGCUGUAGCGCUAUGGCAACGGUUUUAGGUCCUAUUGCAACGCAUAUGAAACUGUUGUUGUAGAUCAAAAUUCUAGAAUAUCUUUUCCAAAAUUAUUAAACUUCUCAAAAGUUAGAGAAUUGUCUAGAUUUGUUGAUUUGAUGCUCAAGACAAAAGAAUGACUUUAUUUAUCAAUGCUACUUAAGUGAUUUAGAUUGUCAGGAAGUUUGCUUCAAAAUAGUUGUUACUAUGUAAACAUUGCGCUUUUGAUUUACUAAUUUUCUAUUUCUUAAUAUUUCAGUAUUUUCGACGAAAAAAUGUUCAUAUGACUUCUAAUAAGCCCAGUUGGUAUUUAUUUAAUAGCUAAUUUUUAUGAGAUAUAUAUUUUGAUUAAUGCAAAUAAAUUUAUAUAUAUAUAUAUAUCAAGUUUACAAGAUCUUGUAACUUCAAAAUAUAUUUUAAAAUUUUUUUGAGUUCCUUUUUUGAAAGAAAAAUAACUCACAACAAAUGUGAAAAUAUGUGAAUAUAUAUGAUCAUUUAAAGUUUAUCAUUAACAAAAUAAAUUUUAUAUUUAGUAAUAUGGAAUAAACAUUUUCAUCUUGUCCCUACACUAAAGUAAAAUCUAAUACCUAUAUAAAAAAUAGUAACAUAAAUUAAAAGUCCUAUUUAUUUAUGUAAGUAUAAAAUUUAUUAGAAAUUUAUCUAUAAUUCUUUAGUUGUAACAUUAUAAAUUCUCUUAGUUAUUACUAAUUAUUGCAAAUGUUAUUCACGGUCUUUUACACUUUUUAGUUAUAAUAUUAUGAAUUCUCAUAGUUAUUGCAUUAAUUAUUUCUAUCUUUCAUCUUUCCUUAUAUUAACUUUUGACCAAUAAUUUUUCAUAUAGUUAUUCCUCCCCUAUAUAUGUGAUAACAUGAUGUUGUUAUUUUUCCUUGGACGAAUCAUUCUUGGUUGAAUAAAUUGAAAAUUGUUUACAAGUAUAUGAAUUAUAUCUUUGUUGGGUGUAAGAUAAACAGGUGAUUAUAUAUAUGAUUUCACAGAUAGCAUAUAUUUUUUAAUUUUAAUUUUUAGUUUUUUCGGUAAAAAAAAGGAAAUCUUUCUCAGUUAACUAUGAACAUUCAAAUAACUAUCUUUGAUUUAUGUACACAGUCAAUCGAAAAGUCAAAUAUGAGAGCCAACAAAAUGAACGUCAUCUAUUAUGAUAUAAGUUAUAAAAUAAAAAUUACAAAAAUAGUUCUAAAAAAUAAAAUGUAGUUGUUCUCCACAUGUUCAUACGACAUCCAAACAUAUUAAGUGGAAUACAUGUACAAAACAUAUCUAGAUAGAUGACAAGAGAAAUACACAACAAAUAUCAUCUUUAAGGUAAUAUUAGUGAGAUACGACUAAUUACAUGAUUGAACCUUCUCAAAUAGAAAUAAGUAUAUACAUUACUAUAUUUAACUAAUGAAACUUUUCAUUGACCAUCUUCAUAGGUUCAUGUGAAUAAGAGAUAUAUAUGAUGAUCUACUUUGAACAAUCACAAAAGAAUCUGCAAUAUUAUUUUGUGCAAAGCAUAUUAUUCAAAUCUUCGCUUAAAUUUUUUGAAUUGAUAAUCACGUGCAACGCACGUGUCGAAAAACUAGUAUUAGUAUAAGUGGAAGCUUUUAACUUCAAAGUUGGAUUACCAUUUUGCCCUUUCCUAAAAGAAUCUCUUCAUUUAAGUUUAUUUUUACAAAAAAAAAAAAAAAAAAGAGGAGACAAGAAAUACCAAAAGUCAUUACUUUUAUUUAAUAAACAACCGUUUCUUUCCUGGCAAUUCAAUGAUCGCAUUGACAUAUAACUAUUUCCUCCUAAGAGAUAACCCCCCAUAAGUUUUUCAGAAUUGAGAUAUUUCUUUAUCUUCCACAUUCAACUCUUGUAUUUUCUUAUUUUUUUAGAAUGAAAGAUUUUUUUUUUUCUUAUCACGUGUAUUUUUUUUAUUUUUUUGAAGGGAAACAAACAUUCAUACUUUAUCAACAAAAUCAAUUAAGAGACGAUGCUGAAGAAAGACAUCAGCUUAAUCUUCUGGGCAACAUGAAAACAAAAUUUUAAUUUAGGGAAGGUAAGCUCUAAAAUGGCAAAUAUCAUAAAGUCCGUUGUAUCUUUCUAAAUGUGGAUUGAUCAAUUUUCUCUUCUUUUUUUUUUGUGUUUUUCAUGAAUAUCGUGUGAUUAUAUAUUGUUGUUUUAUACAAGGUUUUUGGGAUAAUAGAAUACCAACUUAACUUUGCAACACCAAUUAAUUAUAUAUUUUUUGCUUUAUGCAGAUUUUAUACGGUUGAAUUAGUGAAAAGAUAUAAUUUCUUUCUUUUCUGUUUGCAUAGUAGGUAAUUGUUCUUCUGAAUAUUUUAGCACUUCUUAUGGACUAUCAAACUAUUUUUUUCCUAUUUGCUUUUUAUUGUUCUCAUUUUUUAUAUCAAUUAUUUGUACUAUUGUUCUCAUUUUUUAUAUCAAUUAUUUGUACAUUACAAAAGUCUAUUUUUCUCAUCAAUUGAAUAAGUUAAUAUCUCAAAUGGUCACUCAACUAUCUACUUUUCUCUUAGAAAGUCACUCAACUUUGUAUUUUAACUUAAAACCACUCAACUAUCCAUUAUUCUCUCAGAAAGACACUCAACUUUGAAUUUUAACUCGAAAGUCACUCAACUAUCAAUUGUUUUCUCAGGAAGUCACUCAAUCUAUUUUAUUGAUAUUUUAAUUAAAAUUUGCUGAUAUAACUUUUUUUAUUUAAAAUCCAAAUAACCAUUUAAAACAUUUAGUGACCCGACCCGUUAAAAAUAUAAUAUUGACCCAUUUUAUUUUACCCAUUCUCCUACCUUACCCGUUAAAAAUUUUAAUUAAAAGGAUUAAUGCGCAAAAUGAAAAGAAAAUAUAGUUAGCUAGAUUUUGAAUCUCAUUCACCACCAAUGCAUCUUUUGGAGGACAAGAAUAAAAUAAUUUUCUGUCGUGGAACAAAAUAUUUCUCAUCUCUUUUCGAAUAGAUUCUUGUUUUUUGUGGUUUAUUAUUUUGGAAUUUUAAUGAACUAAUUGUGGAUGGUUCAUAAGAUUUUAUAUUGCAUAUAACUUAUCAUUAAAGGUUAUCUCACCCUCAAUUUUCGUGGUCAAAUAAUGCUACACACUUUAAGCGAACAGGAUUUAAUGAUAGUACGUUUACAACUUAUUACAUCUUUUCCUUAAAGAAAUAACAGUAAUAUUAUUAGUGAUUAUUUCUUCUUCUGCAAUUCCUUUGCCUUCGCUGCUUCUUUCUCCUUCUCAUCAUUAUUUUGUGCUCCAGCUUUACAAUGAUUCUUGCAAACCAUACCGGUUUUUCCAGUUGACAUCAUGAAAUAUACUAUGGAUAUUCCAAUGCAUAGUCCACUUCCAUACCCCAUAAGAGCAGCUUUCCGAAAAUCACUCAGAAAUUCAGAAUUGCUUUCUUCACCGUCUUGCUGUCCAGAUACGGCAUAAGUUGUCCCACAACUUUUUGUAACAGGAAAUCCACGUAAUCCAUCAUUGCCUUCAUAUGAAUUGUUCUCAAAGGUGUGAAGUUGAUUUCCCUGAGGAAUGCACCCUUCGAGAUGAUUGUAGGAAAGAUUGAAGACUUCAAGAGAUGUAAGAGAAGCAAAUUGUGCUGGUAUCUUUCCUACAAGAUGGUUACUUGACAGGUCCAGUGAUUCAACCAAAGAUAAACUUCCAAGUGAUGACGGUAUAGGACCUUCCAAUCCAUUAUGAGAUAUAUUCAGCACACGGAGUGCAAUGAGAUCUCCCAUAAUAGUUGGAAUAUGUCCUUCGAAUUUGUUGUUUGAAAGAUCGAUAGUGAUAUACAAAAACAAGAUUCUCACAACUUCACGCUCAUAUCCCUUGAAUACGAAAGCUAUCGAGUCUUGGUAAUAUGAAUCUCCACCAUAUUUUGAUGGUUCCUUUGAUGGAUCAGCUGUCCUCAUGGCUUUCAGAUGUUGAAACAAACUCGAAGGUAAGUUUCCUGAGAAGGCAUUGUAAGAGAGAUCAAUGAUUCGGAGCUCUGAAAAUAUGUUCUCAAUCCUUGAUGUUCUGAUGGGACCAUGCAAUUUGUUGAAUCGCAAGCUUAGAACUUUCAGCUUUGGCAGAGUCCCCAACCACACGGGGAAUGUGUCGUUGAGGUGAUUGUCUCCUAAAUCAAGAACUUCAAGUUGUUUGCAAUUGGUCAAGGAUUGUGGGAUUUUCCCCUCUAGUUUAUUGCCAUGCAAGUAGAGGCUCCUCAGUGAACUUCCAUUACUGAAAGUUGUUGGAAUAUUCCCAGAAAGAUUGUUGUGGCGCAUAUCCAAAACCUGGAGGGAAGUGAUAUUUCCGAAACACUGCGGAAUUUCUCCACGCAAAUUGUUUGUCGCCAAAUCCAGCAUUAUCAGUGAUGUUAAGUUGCAAAUAGAUGAAGGAAUUUCUCCAGUGAGAUUAUUAUGGGAUAUGAAGAAGAGUACUGUGGAAUUUGAUAGAAUGGGUAGUGAACCUUGAAGCAAAUUGGACUUGAAAUCUUCAAAGGGACCAGAUAAGUGAUUAUUACUCAAGUCUAUUCUAUGUAGUGAUGGAAAGGAUAACAUCCCUGGUGGUAUUGUUCCAUUCAGGGAGUUACGAUUAAGGUGCAAAUACUCAAUGCGGGUGAGAUUUGAAAGAGAUUCAGGAAUAGGCCCUCUAAGGUUGCAACUUUCAAGAGACAAAUAAAGCAGCGAAGUUAGAUGAUAGCCAAGAGACUCGGGCAAAUUAUCAGAAAAAUUCACGCCACGGAGAUCUAACUCAAUGAGAGAUGCACUGCUGUUCCAUUUGGUCUUCGGAAAAUUACCAUUGAGCUCAUGAUUGAUCCCUAAGUCAAGUAUUUCCAAGUUGGGCAGGUGAAAUAUACUCUCAGGUAUUAUCCCUUACAAUCCUGUUUCUGACAGGCUCAGAGUCGUGAAAUGAGAAGAAAAAUUAAGAGGAAUGGUGGAAGAGAUGUUUAUGCCACUAAGAUCAAGCUCUCUUAAUUGGGUCAAGUUUUGAAGAAGCGAUUUAAAACCAUGGGUUGUGAGUCUUAGCUUUUUAUUGUAAAGGUUGUUACUGUAAAAGUAAUAAAAUGUGGAGAUACGAAGAGAGUGUAACUUGGAAAGAUGAGAGAUUUCAGAAGGAAUUUGACCUGAGAAAUAGGACCCAGAAAGAUCAAGAUGCAUCAAGCUCGAAAACUUGCUGAAUUCAGGGGAGAUAUGAGAAUUGGAGAAGUUAUUCCAAGAAAGAUCAAGCCUUUGGAGAUGCGAGAGUUGGAAUAGGCUGCUAUUGGAAUCGAUGGUUCCAGUGAGAUUACUGCAACUGAGGUCAAGUUCAAUGACAUGCCCAGUGAUGUCAUCACAUACGACUCCAUCCCAUGAGCAGCAAUCUCUACUCGUGUUCCAUGAACUCGUUUUUGGAUAAGGCUUCGGACAAUAAUAAGAUUCUACUGUGAAAAACGCCAGAGGCUGACGGAUCUAUAGUAAAGGUGUUCUUGAAUUUUAGAAGUGAAAUGGUUUGAUGUUUGUGAGGUAAUAUGGAUAUUGAAGAAACUUCAUGACAGAAAAACACAAUUAAGAGCAUAAUAACUGCAUACCCCAUUUUUAGCUUCAAACACUUCCUAAGUAUGCAAUAAAAGUAUGCAACUAUAUAUAUAUAUAUAUAUAGGCACAUAUUUGCUUGACCAAGUCCAAGUUGGAUUGCAGUAGUAAUAAUUAUCAAUUUUGGCAUUUUUAUUUUUCAUUCUGGGGCUAAUAUAUCAUAAGUUCAUUAGGUAUUUUAAUUGACAUGUAUUAUUUCAUUGUUGUAUAAAUAUUUUUAAUUUUUUUUUAUGUAAUGUAUGUUGUUUUUAAUACACUAAAUUAAAUAAUGCAUAAGAAAUAACAUAUGUAUGGUUAAUGCACGAUAACUAAUACAAACAUUACUAAUACACUCUAUUGAACAUUAUUCUUGUAUACCCAACGUACUAAUAGGUGAUUACUUAAUGCAUGCAUUAGCAUGAUUAAAGGAACAAUUGCCCCUCAAAAUAUUUUCCAUAUUUGUAGAUGGUAUUUUUGUAAAAUAAAUCUUUUUUAGAAAUUAUCAAUGCGUGUUAUUUUUAAUACAUCAAACCAAAUAAUGCAUAACAACAUAAUAAAUAAUCUCAAAAUAGCUAAUACAAACAUUAUAUAUUCAUCAUCAUUCUUAUAUAUCCCUACCAAAUGUGUAUUUGAUGUUCUGAAUCCAUAAACUUUAAAACCUAACUCUAUCUCUUAUGUUAAUUAUAUAAUUAAUGAAAAUGCUUAAAUAGACCAUUGAACUUAGAAAAAAGACUAAUCUAUGUCAUGUGUUAAAAAAUUGGCUCAUCCAUGCCAUUUUCGUUUGAGAAUUGAAGACUCAUCCAUGCCAUUAUUUGUUUGACUAACUCCAAAUUGGAUGCAGUUUAUCAAUUUAUUUAUGAAAUUUAUAUCAAAUUAGGAGGAAAAUAAGGAAAAAUAUAUUUUGUGAUUUGAAAGAAGAUAAUAUUUCAUAUUGAAAGGAAGAAUUUAAGGGAGGGGAAAAGGAAGAGAUGAGGGAACCGAAAUCAGUGGUGACGUUAUUAACUUCUUUCCACUUUUUUGUUUUACUAAUUCCUUUAUUUUCCUGCUGCAUUUUUAAUUAGUUAAUUGUUCUCAACUAUAAGAUAUAUAAUUCCCUACCACCAUUUCAUUAAAUUAAAAGAAGCCUUCAUUUUAUUUCAAUUUUUUUUUUUUAAAAAAAAGAGGAUAUAAUAAUAAAAUUAUGCAAAAAAGGAGUACGCGGCAUCUUUCUUUAACUUAGCAUCGGUAUUUUUCUCUUUUUUUCAACUAAAAAUAUUGAUUACAAUUAAAUACACACCCUAUGUUAGUUUCUUCCCUUAAAUUUCUUUUAUUCAUUUCUUUAUGAUUAGAAUUAACAGUUGCACACCGAAGAAGCUAGAGUUUUAAAGAGUGCUUAUUCUUCGAGACCCAUGUAUGACUGUCAAGGCUUAUCAGUUAUCAAUUUAUACACAAUAUUAAUUUGUCUCAACUUUUUUUUAAAAAAUAAUUCUAAUUGUUUUUUAUUUAUAUAUAACAAUUAGAAAAUUCAAAAAUUAUUUCUUAAUUAUUAUUUAUCUAUUUUUCAAAUUUAGAAAGUCCAAAAGUCAUUAUCAUUAAUUUAGUGAUUUAAUCAUCAUUUAUUAUGCAAUAAAUAAUAUUAUAUAAUAAUUUUUAUUUAUAUAUAGAGUAAGCAUAAAAAAAUUUCUGCAAUAUUACGAUAUCCAAAAUAUUUUGAAGAUCAAAAGGUUGAUAACAAUAUAAUUACUAAUACAAAUAUAAUUAUUAUUCAUGAAAAAAUUCACAAAUAACUUGAAAACAUGAUUAACUGAAAAUAAUUGAAAGAUCAAUACAACGAAAGAAGACACAAAAACUAAAAAAUAGAACAAGAAGAUAAAGAGACAGAACAAAAAAAUCAGAUUUAGAAAACCAAAUAAACUUGGCUAAUUAAGACGAUAACUAUGAAUUAAUUUUAGUUCAGGAAGAAAGAGGACUCAACUUUCCUUUGCUAUAUUUUACUAUAAUUAUAAUUAUAUUUAAAAAUAUGUCUAUUAAUUACUUGAUUAAGUUAUCAUGUUUAUCUUAAAAAUUAGGGAUAAUACAUAUAUUUGACCUUAAACUUGGCUUCAAAUUUUAACUUUGACCUCCAACUUUCAUAGUGCACAAACAAGCACUUUUAACUAUCCAAUCUUUUAAUAAAUAAACACGCGAUUUUUUGGAGCCAAGAGCGUGAAAUGCAAACGCUGCCACGUGUAUUAGCGAGCCACUCAAUGGCUGCCAACUAAUUAAACACUUUACACGUCCAUUUUAGAACUAAAAGAAAAAUAAAAAUUAAUUAAGGGUAAAGUUGUCAUUUCAGCAUUUUUUUCACUGUUGUGUGCCUCAAAAAUUACCUCCCACUCGCGCAAAAUGCAUGCACAUCACGCGACUUAAAAAAUCCCACUUGCUAUAAAAAUUUCAAAAAAAAGCACUUAAAAAGUAGAGAAAUAUCAUUCUCAAAUAUUAGACACGACUAAGUCAUAUGACAGAGUGUAUUUUUGGUAUAAUUAUAAGAUAUUGACUUGUUUACCUAAUAUUUAGAAUGAGAAGUGACUUUUUCUAUAUAAAAAAAAAAUUGAUUUCUCAUUCGAUUUUCGAUAUCCACAUUAGGGUCCCGAUUAAUUUGGAUUCUCUCGGCCUAAGGCCUAUUAAAGGGGGAAACAACACCAAGUUUUUGCACGGAGUGUCCCUCGAAAUAUCUUUUUUCUUGCACCGAGAAGUAUUCAUGCAGUUCUUUAAAUUAUCAAGUAAUUGCAAUGAGAAAUUUCAAAGAAAGCUAUACCACACAAUUUAAUUUCAAUUUAAUGAGAAAUUUCAAAGCUUGCAAAAGAAAAAAUAGGAAAAUAAAUAAAUUAUGGAAAUAAAAACAGCAAAUCCUUACACUUGAUUUAGACAUUUAUUUAUGUGGAUCAUUUCUUAUUCUGAAGGGAGACUUAUUUAUAAAGAAAAAAUUAACUUUAUGGAUCGAUAAUUGAUUUAGUCAAGCAUUUUUUAAGUUGUGUUUGUUUUGGUAUAAUUGUAAGAUAUUGAAUUGUCAAGAGACUUUAUUGGACAUGUAUUAGAAUGAAACGUGGCCUAUUUUUUAUUUAUUUAUUUAUUUUCAUUUGAUUUUAAAUAUCCACAAUAGGGGGUUAUAGAAAGGGAAGGCGAGGUUUUAAAAUCUAUUAUGAAAGCGGGCCUCUACUGGUAGUGAUAUCCCGAUCUCAUGGAUGAAGGCUAACAUUUUCUAUUGGAAUAGAGGGAUUAAUCAAGAUUUUCUCCGUGUGAGACUCAUUAAAGGCGUAAGCACCAAGUUCUGACGCAGUGUGCCUCCAAAUAACUUUUUUCUUGCACCUAAAAGUAUUAAUGUUGUGAAAAUUUCAAUGAAAGUCACUUUGAAUUUUCAUAUUGAAAUAAAUUUAGCAGUAAUUUUUUUCUCUUUAAAUAAAUCAAUAUUAGGAUAAUCUAAGAGAAAUCUUAGGAAUAGGAUCUGUAUUCAUUAAAACUUUAGAUAUCAAUAACUUAUAUUUUAAAUUAAUAUUCACAUAAUUUGAAACUAUUUAGUCCUUGCACGUGAUCGAGUCUUGCCAUAGAAGUUUUACUUAACAAUAUAUGUAUAGGCACAUAUUUGUUUGACUAACUCCAAAUUUGAUGCAGUAGUAUUAAUUUAGUCAUGAUUUUUUUUCUCUAAUAAAGUGAAGGAAAUAAUUGUUACUUUAAACCCAAUAAUAACGGUGAUUCAAAUAUUAUUAAUCCACAUAUAUAUUUUACAUAUCAUUAGUACAUCCAUCUUCCGUAUUAUAUGUGGAAUACAUUUGAAUGAUUAAAUCAAAUUUUGUACCAAAUGUAUUAACUUGAUUUAUAGUCCUUUCUUUACUUUAAUUAGCCCACUUCAAACAACGAUUGGUGUUAUUGCUUUUUUGUUCCUUCUUUAUUGAUUACUUAAUUUUAUAAAUAACUAUUUAAAGAAAUUUCUUUAGAAGAUAAAGUAAAAAAAAAAAAAAAAAACCUAGAAUAAUCUAUUUUUUAUGAAAAAAAAAAAUCAUUCAGACCCGAAUAGAGAUUUUCUUCAAAUAAAAUUAAAGUUCCACCUUGACUUAUAGUAAAUUUGAUAGCAACUGAAAAGAAAUAUGGAAAUUAAUGUUUGUUAUUCUCAAGUCAAUGCACGAGUCUUGUUAUAGAAAUUUCAAAGAAAGCUACAUCACACAAAUUGAUUCAAUUUAAUGAAAAAUUCCAAAGUUUGCAAAAGAUAAAAAUAGAUAAAACCAAAGUGUGUUUUGGUUCAAGUACCAGCAAAUCCUAACGCUUGAUUUAGAAAUUGAUUCAAUUUAUUGAAAAAUUCCAAAGUUUGCAAAAGAAAAAAAUAGAUAAAAACGAAGUGUGUUUUGGUUCAAGAACCAGCAAAUCCUAACGCUUGAUUUAGAAAUUGAUUCAAUUUAUUGAAAAAUUCCAAAGUUUGCAAAAGAAAAAAAUAGAUAAAAACGAAGUGUGUUUUGGUUCAAGAACCAGCUAACAAAUCCUUACGCUUGAUUUAGACACUUAUUGAUAUAAUAUAUUAAUGUGUUUUUUAACUUGGUCUCAGCUCAUAUUCAUGCCCUCCAAUUUUUGGUGUGCAUAAAUAGAAACUUAAACUUGUAUAAAGUUGAACAAAUAUACACACACGUCCUACAUGACAAUUUUAUCUCAUAUGUUUACUAGUUCAACUUCAUACAAGUUAAAGUGCUUACUUGUAUACACCUAAAGUUGAAAGAUAUAAAUGUAAAAUGAAGCCAAGUUAAAGGCACAUUUAUGUAUUAUGCCGACAUUUAUUUAUGUAGAUCUAUUUCUUAUUUUGAAGGUAAAAUCUAAGAUAAAUCUUAGGAAUAUGAUCUAUUUUCAUUUGGAAGUUUAAGUAAAUCUAUUUUCAUUAAAAUUCUGGUUAUCGAUAUCCUACAAUUUUUAAAUUAAUAUUCACAUAUUUAAAAACUUAAAAACUACAUAGAGAAACAAAAUUUUCAAGUCCUUGCACAAGUCUUGCCAUGGAAAUAUCAAAUGAAAGUUACUUAACAAUCAUACUUUCACUUUAAAUUUUCAUUUUGAUGUGACUACAACUUACUCUUUACUUUAAAUUCCAUGGACUUAGAAAACUUGAGUUGAUUGGUAUAAAGAUUUUAGUAGAGGCAAUUUGUUCAUCUUGUAUUCCUAAGAUAAUUAGAACAAAAUUUUGAAGAACUUUGUAAGAAACAACAAAGUUUAAAGAGUAUUUUCAAAAACUAGAAAAUUCAAACUAGUAGAGAAAAUAGAAUCAGAAACAACUGGUAUUGAUAUUGUGUUACAAAUCUUACAACAGUACUUAAAAAGGUUUUUUCUUUUUCUUAACUUAUUCAUUCUACCGGAAUAGUUCUAGACAAGCACAAAACAAUGAGAAUAGCUGAACAAAACUAACACAUCAUUAACCGCAUCCAUGACUUAAAUUAUAAACUAUAUAGGAAAACAGGGAAAAUCUUUUCAACGGGAGGACAGACCAAAUUUUAUUUUCAUCGAGCCCAUGCGAAGGGUUUGGUUAAGAUACGCCAGAUUCCACCAAGUAUACAAAUGGAACCUAACCAUACAUGUCCUCCGAUUAUAUCUUCUAAAUCAUCCCACUAUCAAUCCAUCCUUCCCCUCCAAAAGGGGAUGUUAGUAGAAAACCAAAUAUGAAACUCAAGCUAAGUGUCAAAUUGGUAGUUUUUCUGACAUCUCCCCCUCCCGGAAAUCAGGUUCGUCCGUAAUCUGUUUCAACCAAAAGAUGUAGUCAUUCCAACCAAAAGCGGUCAGGUUUAGGUGUUACAACUAAAUUCGCUUAUAUAAUACUACCAAGUCUGAAACUUUCUAAGGACAUAUUUAUCAGCUAGUUGGUAAGAAAAGCAAACAUAAGUAUAUAUAUACUUACUUUUGAGAAAAAGUAACUGUAACAUAUGUAAAUAUACUCGAUUGAUAGAAAAGCUUGAGUCGGCACCAGAAUAAUGAACUAACUGCUGUAGCACCCAAUGAUGUAGCUUACUGGUCAAUGAUGUGGGUUGAGCACCAUGAGGUCUCAAGUUGAAUUUCCAACAGAGACAAAACACUAGGUGAUUUCUUCUCAUCUGUCCUAGCCUAGUUCUAGCCUUGGUCAACAGAGGUACCCAAUACUUGUUGACGGUGGGAGGUGGCAAGUAUCCCGUGGAAUUAGUCGAGGUGCGUGAAAGUUGGCCCGGAGGCUCCAAACACCACAGUUAUCAUAAAAAAAGAACUAACUGCUGUAUAGAUAUAAAUAUAGAUAGGAAACAUCAGUAAUGUCUCAGGAAAAGUGAUUUUGCCCAAAAUGUCUGAAGAUGGUUCUAGUCGGACCAUAUUUUCUUUACCAUAUGAGUAAAAUUUUCCCAAAAAGACUAGCAUAAACUUCCUUACAAGCUAAAGUGUUGUAGGGGAAUCAUACAAUCCCAUUACAAAUGAGUUACCACAUUGAACAAAAUUGAUUAUAUCCUUCAUUAAGCAAAGCAAAGAAAAAAUCAAGAAUCGACGGCAGGAAUCCCAGCCAGGAAACACAUAAGAGGGAUUCAAGUUUUCUAAGAAAUGUUAACUGAUUUGAGCCAAAUACCAUUUCAACAGCUUCAUUCUAAUGCAACCCUCAAAUAAGUUCCCCAUUUGUCAAAACCAAAUCAAUCCUCAAAUUCCCAGGUAAAAUCAAUCAAACAAGUUAACAAUAUCAACGAAUACUUAACCUGCUGACCAAUUUCACAUAGGUCAACCUGACAUCUAAUUCUACCACAACUUGAAGCAAAACCAGGUCCAAAAUCAAAUCUUCAUCGACAUCUCAAGUUCAAAAAUCAAACCUGUCACGGACAAAAGCCUAGAGUUUAAGUGGAUAAGACAUAAGAGUAGACAUGCGAGCCAAUUAUCUACCAAGUUUCAAACCGUGAACCCAGGGUUAUCAAAAAAUCAAAUCUUUAUUAAAUAUAUUCCAAUAACAACAUAGAAAGAAGCCAUCUCCAAACACUAGGAAGUGUAAGUUCUCCACCUAGUUACACAAAUUAAGCACCAUCCUCACCGCAGAAAGAUCCUACAUCUUGGCAGUGGGUGUAUUCAUAUGAACCCUUUUUGUUAGAAAAUUAAGCAAAGGUACGGAAAGAGAUGGACUUGAACCCAUCCACUACCUCCCUUUGAACUAUAUAAUAUUGAAUGAAACAAUCUAUCAAAAUAUGUCUCUAUGUAUAUAUGCACACAUCCUACUCACCAUACCUCACUUCUUUUUUUAUAACGGUAGUGUCCAAGCCAACUUUUGCACACCACGACUAAUUCCACAGGAUACCUGUUACCGGCCACCUCCCACCACCAGCAUGUACAGAUAACUAUCCAUCAAAGGCCUAGACGGAUGGGAAGAAAUCACCUAGUUUUUUUUUUUUUUUCUCUGGUGGGAUUUGAACAUGAGAUAUGACUUGUUAUAUGUCUCCAUAUGAUAAGUUUACACUCAUUUUCAAGAAGCAUAAAUAAUGGUUUCAAAGAUAUUCCAAACUCAUUUACUCAACAAUAUUGGAACCACUUAUCCUCACUCAACAUCAAAUCAAUCAUACAUCAGAAAUUAGUCAAUAAAUAGCAACACUAAAUGUGGAUCUAGCCCUUCGAAUCGUGUUAAACCAAAUCCACUUCUUUCAGCUCAAACAAUUACAACUAAACUUAUCAUAUCAUAUCAUAUAUUAGUAAAAGUAGGAAACUCCAAAGUGCAAAGUUGGAUCACAUUGACAUAUAACUAUUUCGUCUUAAGAGAUAACCCCCCAUAAGUUUUUCAGAAUUGAGUGAUUUCUUUAUCUUCCACAUUCAACUCUUGUAUUUUCUUAUUUUUUUAGAAUGAAAGAUUUUUUUUUCUUAUCACAUGUAUUUUUUUUAUAUUUUUGAAGGGCAGCAAACAUUCAUAUUUUACCAACAAAAUCAAUUACGAGACGAUGCUGAAAUGUCAAAUAUCAUAAAGUCCGUUGUAUCUUUCUAAACGUGGAUUGAUCAAUUUUCUCUUCUUCUUUUUUUUGUGUUCUUCAUGAAUAUCGAAUAUCGUGUGAUUAUAUAUUGUUGUUUUAUACAAGGUUUUUGGGAUAAUAGAAUACCAACUUAACUUUGCAACACCAAUUAAUUAUUGAUUUUUUGCUUUAUGCAGAUUUUAUAUGGUUGAAUCAGUGAAAAGAUAUAAUUUCUUUCUUUUCGAUUCACAACGUAGGUAAUUGUUCUAUUGAAUAUUUUAGCACUUCUUAUGGACUAUCAAACUAAUUUUUUCCUGUUUGGUUUUUAUUUUUCUCAUUUUUUAUUUAUCAAUUAUUUGUACAUUACAAAAGUUUAUUUUUCUCAUCAAUUGUUUUUAACAUUUCAAAAUCUCGAAAUAUACUUACGAAUGAAUAACAUUUUCAAUAAUAGAUAUUAUCUUUGGGAUAAAUAUAUAAUAUUAUACUUCAUAAUUCAUUGUACUUAAGUCUCCAAAACAUAAUUAUUAUUUUUAUGUUAUAUUAAUUUCUAAAUUUUUCAUUUUUCAUAUAUUAUAUUAUUAUUUUGAAAGUGAAAGCCUUUUAAGUUAAAAAAAAAUGAAUUACCAAAAUGUCCAUUAUAAGUUGGACAUUUUUACUGAUUAGUCAUGAACUAUUUCUUCAAUAUUCAAGUUAUACAAAAUUGUAAGAAAAAAAAUCAUAAAAUAUUACCAUUAAAUUAUUAUAAAUUUGAGACUUAGUUAACUUGGAGAUAGACCAGAGCAGUUAACUUGCUUUAACCUCUCUUCUCUGUUGUACAAUAGUUUCAAGUUUUAUCAGCAAUGCAUAUUCUCCUUUCUUCACCUUCUUUUCAGUGAUUUUAUGUUCACAAAAGGAUUAAUGUGCAAAAUGAAAAGAAAAUAUAGUUAGCUAGAUUUUGAAUCUCAUUCACCACCAAUGCAUCUUUUGGAGGACAAGAAUAAAAUAAUUUUCUGUCAAGGAACAAAAUA
rnacentral:lncRNA from 1 species